rnacentral:rRNA from 1 species
AUUGAACGCUGGCGGCAGGCCUAACACAUGCAAGUCGAACGAGUAGCGGACGGGUGAGUAAUGUCUGGGAAACUGCCUGAUGGAGGGGGAUAACUACUGGAAACGGUAGCUAAUACCGCAUACAAUCGGAUGUGCCCAGAUGGGAUUAUCUAGUAGGUGGGGUAAAGGCUCACCUAGGCGACGAUCCCUAGCUGGUCUGAGAGGAUGACCAGCCACACUGGAACUGAGAAACGGUCCAGACACCUACGGGAGGCAGCAGUGGAGAAUAAUGCACAAUAGGAGCAAGCAUGAUGCAGCCAUGCGGCGUGUAUGAAGAAGGCCUUCGAGUUGUAAAAUAAUUUCAGCCGGUAGGCGUAACCCGCAGAAGAAGCACCGGCUAACUCCGUUCCAGCAGCCGCGGUAAUAC